rnacentral:rRNA from 1 species
UACGUAGGGUGCGAGCGUUAAUCGGAAUUACUGGGCGUAAAGCGUGCGCAGGCGGUUCGUCGUGUCCGAUGUGAAAGCCCCGGGCUCAACCUGGGAAUGGCAUUGGAAACUGGCGAGCUUGAGUGUGGCAGAGGGGGGUGGAAUUCCGCGUGUAGCAGUGAAAUGCGUAGAGAUGCGGAGGAACACCGAUGGCGAAGGCAACCCCCUGGGCUGACACUGACGCUCAGGCACGAAAGCGUGGGGAGCAAACAGG